AGGUGCCAUCAUACCAGCACUAAUGCACCGGAUCUCAUCAAAAUUUCGCAGUUUAGUGUGCUUGGGCGAGUAUAGUACUAGGAUGGGUGACCUCCUGGAAAGUCCUCGUGUUGCACCUC
rfam:Lupinus angustifolius cultivar Tanjil contig_1795, whole genome shotgun sequence.